CUCCCAGUGGCGUAGUUGGUCAACGCGUUCGAUUGCAAACCGAGAGAUUACCUGUUUGAUUCAGGUCUAGGAGA